rnacentral:rRNA from 1 species
AACGAACGCUGGCGGCAUGCCUAACACAUGCAAGUCGAACGAGACCUUCGGGUCUAGUUGCGCACGGGUGCGUAACGCGUGGGAACCUGCCCUUAGGUUCGGAAUAACUCCCCGAAAGGGGUGCUAAUACCGGAUAAUGUCUUCGGACCAAAGAUUUAUCGCCUUUGGAUGGGCCCGCGUUGGUUUAGCUAGUUGGUAGGGUAAAAGCCUACCAAGGCGACGAUCCAUAGCUGGUCUGAGAGGAUGAUCAGCCACACUGGGACUGAGACACGGCCCAGAAUCCUACGGGAGGGAGGAGUGGGGAAUAUUGGACAAUGGGGGAAAGGCUGAUCCAGCAAUGCCGGGUGAGUGAUGAAGGCGUUAGGGUUGUAAAGCUGUUUUACCCGGGAUGAUAAUGACGGUACCGGGAGAAUAAGCACCGGCUAACUCCGUG